rfam:Gossypium hirsutum cultivar TM-1 chromosome 8, whole genome shotgun sequence
AACCCAUGGUGAGGGCACCUUCUUAGUAAAUCCUUAUAUCUCUCCCAUGCAUCGUAAAGUGUUUCUAAAUCCAUCUACACAAAAGAAGAGAUAUCAUUACGUAAUUU